ACGGAGGGUGCAAGCGUUGUUCGGAUUUACUGGGCGUAAAGCGCGCGCAGGUGGGCGUGCAAGUCGGAAGUGAAAUCCUGGGGCUCAACCCUGGGGCUGCUCCCGAAACUGCAGGUCUAGGGACUGGUAGAGGCUGGUAGAAUUCCCGGUGUAGCGGUGGAAUGCGUAGAGAUCGGGAAGAAUACCCGUGGCGAAGGCGGCCAGCUGGGCUUGUUCUGACGCUGAGGUGCGAAAGCGUGGGGAGCGAACAGGA
rnacentral:rRNA from 1 species